UUUUUUAAUUAAACUGGGUCCGAGCUCCACCAGGUGAGGGUCCAAUGAGGUUGUGCUGAGCUGACAUUAAUAUUUUCUUCAGCAGGACAAGAAGGAGUCAGUCCUGCACAAAUCUGAGCAUAUGCAGCCUGGCAAAGGGCACAGGAGUGCAGAUGCUGGGAGGCAGAAGUUGGUGUUGUCAGAGUGGAGGUUAGAAAGGAGGCUAGGAAGGCUGGAGAGAGUUGGGGAGGAGAGCAGAGAGGGAGAAGGGGGAGGCCUGGGGCCUGGGGCAGGAUGACAUUUUCAGCACUCUGCUACUAGGGCUGUAUGACCGUAUUUCCCCACACUUCGUGGCUUGACCCACAAACACUUACUGUCUCACAGUCCCAGGGAACCAGGAAUCCAGCAGCACUCAGCUGGGGGCUCCUACCAGAGUCUCUCAGGAGUUUGGGGCUGUUGUCAGCACUGAGGCAGGACUUGCUUCACUCAGAACCUGAGCUCACUUAGGGGUGUUAGCAGGGUUCAGUCCACAUCAAAGGCCUGAGUUCUUCUCUUCUGUUGUUGUCUCUCAGUGCUAGACCACAUGCAUGUGUCUGUGUCAUGACUCAACAUAGAGGCCUGUUCCCCAGUGUGAGGAUCUGAGAGAGAACACAGGUAUCAUCCGAAAUAUGCCUGAGGACAUCCCGAGGAAGUACAUGCUAGAAUAAUCUCCAUUGCACAGGAAGGACACAGACCAUCCCUGAGAGGCACAAUGGCUUAUCCAGGGUCAAAAUCAGAACUGCACACCAGAGAUGGGGCAGGAGUUGAGUGAUGAGAUCCUCUGCUCAACUUCCGUGAAGGACAGGAAUAUGCCCCCAUACCACCAACAGGAUGCAGGACCUAAGCCACUCAGGGACCAUCUUCUCCAUUCUGGGCACCUGGAUGAACCACUCCCCUGAGGAUUUUUCCAACCUGCAGAAUUUUCCUGCCUGAAGAUGCUGCUGGCAUAUGUGGGGCUUAACAUGCUGGGCUCACACCUGGAGCACCAUACGUCUGUUUUCCUCUCAUAGCUGGGACACAUGGAGCCCAAUGAGCCAGAGGUUGAGGCUAUAGCACCCGUUCCGGAGCAGGAUCCAGAACCAACUCAAGAGCUAGCCCCAGCUCCCACUGUGGUGCCUGCUGCAGCUUCAGAGCCCAAGGUGGCUGAAGCCAUCACUCCUGCUGGAGCUCAGCAAUUAGGAAAAGCAGUGACCCUCCCUGCAGUGUCAGAGCCAGUGCAGGUGGUAGUUAUAGCUCUGAUUCACUGUCAGGAGCUGGAAGAACCACCCGCACCUUUGGCAGCCCUGGAGCAUGAGCAGGCUCCAGCCCCAGCUACUGGGGUUACGGAAGGACUAGAACAACCACUUGCUACAGCUGAACAACCAGCCUCAGCUCCCAAGCAGUGGCUCGUGUCGGCUGCAGCCCCAAAGGAUGGCUUCCCCUCCCCUGUCGUUGCUUUUUUUUUUUUUUUUGAAAUUUUUGUGUUUUUUAUUCAGAUAUGGAAUGGCUUAGUGUAUUUUGUUUUAUAAGUAAAGUAUAAAUUGACUUCAAGUAAA